GCCCUGUGGUUCCUAGAGACAGCUGGAGGUGUUGUUCUGUAGGUCUGGAUUGACGGGCACAGAUUAAAUCUGCGAUUCAAUGCAUGGGAGCUGCUGUUCCAAGCUGCCUUCCAUAGCCCGGUUGCAGAUACAUUG
ensembl:snoRNA small nucleolar RNA SNORA84